UUGAGAAUUCCACUUACUGACAGAAAUGAGAACAAGGGCUUGAAAACAACCUAUGGACUGGAGAAUUCAGAAUUCAUGGAUCCCCCCCCCCCCCGAGAUCUUCUGUGGAUGCUGGGGAGUGGCCUCUUUUCUUCUGAGAUUCUCAACCAGGUUUUCCAAGAAAACUCUCGGGUUCUACUUGAUAGCUCUGAGUUCUUUCAUAGACUAGAAAUAUAGAAAAUGUUUUCCUAGGAUAAAAAUCCACCUUUCACGCUGAAGAACUUUCCACAGAAACAAGACAGAAUGAGACCUGGAGCCUUAUUCCAC